rnacentral:rRNA from 1 species
UACAGAGGUGGCAAGCGUUGUUCGGAAUUACUGGGCGUAAAGGGCGCGUAGGCGGCCUUCUAAGUCAGACGUGAAAUCCCCCGGCUUAACCUGGGAACUGCGUCUGAUACUGGGAGGCUUGAGUAUGGGAGAGGGAUGUAGAAUUCCAGGUGUAGCGGUGAAAUGCGUAGAUAUCUGGAGGAAUACCGGUGGCGAAGGCGGGUCUCUGGGCCGAUACUGACGCUGAGGAGCGAAAGCGUGGGGAGCAAACAGG